rnacentral:lncRNA from 1 species
AAUUAUCUUCCUAACAGCUUUAUAAAAAUGUUCCUUUAUUGUGAUUAUAAUUUAAUAGUACAUUAAAAUUCUUCUUUUGGCAUAUCCCAGAAUGCAAGGGUACUGGAGCAGAAAGAGUAGAAUUCAGGCCCAGUGGCAGGUGUCAGGGAGAGCAUUAGCAUUGAACAUGAGGAAGCUCAACACAGAAGCCUUAAUGGAGGAAAUGAAUGUGCGACACUUUGCAGAAGAAAGGUACAGGUGUAAGGCACAGACUGCGGUCUCAGAGGGCCCCCUAGCGCUGCUGUUCAGCAUCACACUGAAGCAAUCAGCGAACACCUGCGGAGAUCAGCAGCAGCUUCAGACCUCAGAGCAGGUAAGAACAGAUUUGACCGCGUUUGUGUUUGUUUUACUGUUAAUUGGUUAAAC